rnacentral:lncRNA from 1 species
GCCGAAGCUGAUCCUCCAUCUGGAGGGUGCAGACUGGGAGCUUCCACGGGACAACUACGUGCUGGAUAACGACGACGACGGCAGCGGCGCGGGCAGGGAGCUGUGCGUCGUCAUACUUUCUGCAGGCAACAGCAACGGGACGAUCAUCGGCAACUUCCAGCAGCAGAACAUGCACAUAGUCUACGACCUGGAGAGCAACAAGAUGGUCUUCGCGCCUGCGCGUUGCGACAAGCUGUAACUGUACUGUGUACGUUCUAGGGACAACGAACAGCCUUGUUUCUGCGUCCUAGUACUAAAUAAAGAACGUGCAUUGAUUUGGUAAAAUCAUUGCCGGCUUGAUCUUUGAGCGACCGUUUGUCUGGCAAAUUAAAAUCUAUCACCAUGUGUUUUCUGGAAGGAGUUAAUCAACAAGAUGAGAAAUGUUUUGUUUCCGUUGAAGUUUUCGUCGGACUUGAUUUGAUUUGAUUCGAUUUGAUUGAGUUAAUGCAGGGCGGCGUACACGAUGCUCGAUGAGGGCGCUCGUCGUCCAACGUGGUGAUUGCUAUUUUGUUGAUAUGUUGGGUUUUUUCUUAAAGAAGAAGGGAUUGGUGUAGUAGCGUAGCAACAAGUAUUUUUUUUUUUCAAUGACGAUCAUGGCUUAUCGAAUCAAUUGAAAAAUAAGCAAUCAAUCGUUGAUAGUUACUGCACAAACAAGAACAAAUACUAACACCCUACGCAGGCAAGAGGAUUGCUAAUUUUCUUGUACUCGUUAAUUUCAAGGAUCAGAUCUAGUAAUUAUAAAUAGGUAAAAUACAAAACGAAUAAAAUGUAAAUAAAUUACAGCAAGUAAAUGAAGCUUAUGUAAAUAUUUAAAAUAAACCUCGGAGCCAUAGUUUUCACUAGAAGCAUCUCUUUCAUGUCCGCGCUCCCAUGCACUCUAACCACAACCCUAGGUUUCCUCCCGGCCCUUCCUUCAUCAAUUGAUCCUAUGUUUGGUACCCUGUCGUGGGUAUAAGCCUGACAGUAGAUGUGUAGGGUACGAAAAGGAUGGGCAGAGUCCCAGCUACGGUGAGGAUGUAUGAGUUCGGGCCCCUCUGCGGUGGAGGUAAUAGCCCUACGUCUCAGUGCUCAGGGAGCUUUGUUGUCGAGUGGAAUAGGGAAUACAAUGAGUUGCUAACCACUUUACCAGUGUGAGAGGGUGGCUUAUAUAGAGUGGGCUGCCCUCCACAACGGUUCCGGUACAGGGGUGGAGUAGUGGCGAUUGAAUGUUUACGUUACAGGUAACGUACGCCCUAAAUGCUAAUAAAUUCACCUGGAAACGUACGACCGUUUCCCGCCAGGGGGGUUACGAUGUACCGAGUGUUACACAGUCGGUUAGCCUGAUAUGCUCCGAAUGCUAGUCGCCGACUGGAUGAUCGAGGGUAUGUUACCGACUGGACGACAGGGAUUCCUUAAUUCAGUCGGAGCUGACUAAGGGUCUAGUCCUUUGUGAGGUGUAGACCUUGGGUAGGACCUAAAGGGCAGGCCUAUGACCCUACCCUAGGACUAUAACCCCAUCAUUAGUCCCCGAAUGGAUUGGGGUCGGAACGACACAGCGAUGUUCAAAGUUGGAUCCGACUGGAACAGACUUGGCUUGGGCGUUGCUGGCCUCGGUCCAUUUUGACUUUUCUGGUCGACGAUCCGAGUAGAAGGACUCGCAGAACAGACUAUCGGGAGCCGAGUGCUUCGACGGCAUCUUCUGAUGCGACCGGUCAACUGACAGCGGCGGAUUUCCCGGGAUCCUCAAAUUUCGGUUUUCGCGCGCUCAGCGGGGAUGACGCCAACGCGCUCGAGUAGCGCCUGACGCCUCGAUUCUCGUGCCUUCAACCUCUCCACUAAUUUCGCCGUGGUGGGUCGGGAGGAUAAGGUUUUGGGGCCACCUGCCAGCGACCCAGUUGGAACCCUAUUUAAAUCUCGGCGGCGAGGCUUCUUCGUUACGCUCGCCAAAUCCCUCGCUCUUGCUUGCUCCGUCCUUCUCGCCACCUCUAGAGCUUCUACACUCCUCCCUUCCCCUUCCUCCCGAGGACUCGCAGCUGCCGCCAUGACCAAGGGUCAGACCAGCAAGUUGGAGGCGAGGAAGAAGAAGGGGAAGACGGCGGCGCCUGCUCAGCGGCGGCAGCGGCCGUUGCCGGCAGGGUGGAUCCAGGGCGACUUCCUCCCCUCCACGGUGACGGAGGGGGAUCUGCUGCAGCUGGUGGAGCACGGGAUGAUAGUGCAGAAGUCCUGGAGGCUGCCGGCGGAGAACGAGGUAGAGCCAGCGCCUCGGGAGGGGGAGCGCGUCUUGCUGCUCAGCCACGUCCACCGAGGUUUUUCUUUGCCCCCGCAUCCUUUCUUCAAGGGCAUCAUGAAUCACUUCGGGGCCCAACUUCACCAUUUUCCUCCGAAUGCCAUCGCCCAUCUUUCUGCCUUUAUAGUUUUGUGUGAGUGUUUCAUCGGCUGCCCUCCCCAUUGGGGCUUGUUCAAACACAUCUUUUCCGCCAGAUCCCAAACCAUCAAACGACUUAGCCAGUCGGAUGAUAAGUCGCAUCUCCUCCAGCUCUGCGGGGGCUUAGGUUUCCAGAAAAAGAGUCGGAGUAGUUAUCCUGCUCUUCAGUUAAGUGAGUCGGUCAGGAACUGGCAGUCGACGUGGUUCUACUGCCAGGAUAUCGCCUGUCCGAAUGCGUCGACUGGGCUGCCUCCCUUUAGUUUAGAUCGGCCCGCCCCGCCCAAGCAGCUCGCACUCUCGAAGGCGGAGAAGAACGACAUCGAGCCUUUGGUUGAGGCACUCGUGGAUGUCGUCAGGAGGGGGGUCACCGGCAUAGACUUGUUGGAGGUCUUCCUCGGUCGGCGUAUCCAACCUCUGCAGGCUCGUGACCAUGCCAUGUGGCAUUACACGGGGCCCGAAGACUCCACUCGGACCAACGUGGUGGGCGUGACUGAGGAGAAGGUGACCUCGUGGGUGGUCCAAAUCACGGGCCCCUGCGAGAAUCCCAAAGGAUCUCGGCGAGUGAAGUCUUACAACACGGAUCAUCCUCCACCGAAUCAGGUGAGUAACACUUGUCGAGUGCACUGAACUGUCUUAAUUCCUGUCGUUUGUUUGAAUCUCUGUGUGAUGUCCGAUGUUGCCGACUGAAAUUUAUGCAGGCGUGGACCAACUAGUUCUCCCCCGUCUCGAAUGGGAAUCCGGCCGAGGAAGAGGAGGAAGGCAGUCAGGAGGGCAGCGUGGAGAGCGCCGAGUACGUCUCCGACAGCGGGGAAUCGGAGGAGGAGACCAGCGAGGAGGAGGAAGAAGACGAAGAGCAGGACUCACCGCCUCCGCGACUAGAGCAUCGGACCAAGCGCCGACACGAGCCCGCCGUCCCCUCGGCUCCUGUCGCGUCUUCGAGUGCUCCGCGCACUGCUCCGGUGGUCCCGAGUGUUCGAAGCACUAAGAGGACCAGGGAUGCCGCCGCUGAGCCCGCGGGUCAGUCUUCUAAGGCGGCCAAACCGAGUGGGCCUAAGCCUCGGAAGGCUCUGUCGCGAAUGAGGGUUGCUGUCCCUGUCACCUCCACGUAAGUGUAUCCAGCUUUCAAUUCUUUCUGAUAUCCGAGUGAACUUCUGUUUACUGGCCGAAUGGAUUUCACUCGACAGAGUCGCCACUUCUGCCACCUCUCCGGUGUGUCAGGAAGAUGAUCCCAUGGACACGGACAACGUCAUCUCGUCCCAGCCAAGUGCGUUGUAGGGACGCCGAGUGUUUUAUACUAUCACGUCUCGAAUUCUAUCAUAGGUCCUGCUUCUUUCUUUUUCUGAGACCUUGUGUCAUUCGGCCUGUCAGGGGCGAUUUGCCUGGACGAGGGCGACCAGGGGAGAGCCGAACCAGCUGUGGAGCCUGUUCUUGAGGCUGCUCCUCCUGCUGCUGCUCUCGCUGCCGACGUGCUGCCGACUGAGGCGCUGCCACAGCCUGAACCAGUGCUGGUGGAUGAGGAGCCGACUGGGGCGGACCUUGGGAUGGCUCAGGAACUUCCGACGAUUCCAAGCUCGUCGAAUGCUGAAUUCAGCAUCCAGCGUCUUCCGGAGGAGCAGGUGGGAGCGGCCAAGGGAGCUAUGGUGCAGGCGGAGCUGAUGGCUGGAGAAGCCAAGAGGGUCUACGACUCCGUUGCGUCCUUGUACCAGCGGAGCUUGGAGCUGCGGGAUGAUAUCCGAGUAAGUGGUCUAGUAAGUAUUUACUUUUCUCUUGUAACCCACUGGGUGUUCUUGAAUAGCAGCUGUUGUUUGAAGUGGGUUCACUCUGAGUGAACCCAGUGGGUGUAGUCCCCGAGACUUCUGUCGAGUGCUUGCACUGACAGUUGUCUUUAUACAUAUUGUCUUUACUUUGGUUGUGUGUGUAAAUAAUAUGACCGAGUGCGAGCAGCUGUUGCACUCGGAGUGUAUUUACUGUAAGAGUCUCCGAGAGUAAGUUGUACUCAGGUCGGGUAGUAUUGGCCUCGUAGGCGCAGGUGAUAACAUGCAUCUCAAUAGGGCAGGCCUGCUUGAGCUGCAUGCCAGUGGGGUCACUCUCAGUGAACCCACUGGGUGUAGUCCCCGAGACCACUGUCGACUGCUUGCGUCAGCAGGGGUCUGAAGAACUUAGGCUUUUAAUUGUUGAACUUUCUGAUUGUCUCUUGGUGAUUGUUGGUAGAAAACUUGUGAAAUGGGGACGGCCUAUGAAGCUCUCACGGCGGAGAGGAAUCAGUUCGCUGGUGAGCUUGAUGCGGCCAUGCUCGCGAUGGCCGGCAUGAAGGAUGCUCUGAAGGGACGAGAGAAGUCCUUGGAGGAGGAUCGUGAAGCGAACAAGGUGUUGACUGAGGAAAUGGAAAAAAUGAAGAAACAGAGGACUGCUCUCACGAAUCAGAUGGUCGUCCUGAAUAAGCGAUGCAUAACUCAGGAGAAGUAUGUCAGCGACUGGGCUGGGCAGAUGAUGAUGCGUCUGGCUGGUAAGUCUUAUGUUUUGCCGAGUGCUUGUACUGUGUGCAUGACACUCGGCGUUUAUUGUAUGCUUUCCCUUCUGUUGCAGAUUUUUGCGUUGAUGCUGAAGCUGAAGCAGCGGACGUCGAGCGGUCCAUUCGCGACAACGUGCCACUCGGCGAGGAUGCCAAUCGGGAUCUGCUCCGGACGCACAUCCGCGUAGGCAAAGUGGGUCCUUUCACCGGUCGACUGAGAGAGGUCAUCGGCCGCAUUGACAAGGAACUUUGGCCAGAAGAUGAGUCGCGGCAGGAGAUGGAGAGCCUGAUGGCGCGACUGGAGGAGAUUCCGAACCGAGUGCAAUCGUGGAAGAAAUCGGCAGCGCAUUGCAGUGCAGAUGUUGCUCUGUCUUUGGUUCGAGUCCAUUGCAAGGAGGUGCGUGAGGAGAAACUGAAGACACUGAAGGUCGCCAACACGAAGAAGCUUCGAUUCGAAGACUUCAUGGAGACGUUCCUUGAGAGUGCUACCCGCAUCGCCGACGGAGUCGACUUGGACACCUUCGUGGAGCCCUCCAGUCCUGGCGCCGGCCCAGCUGACGCGUAAGAAAACUUUAUCCUCGGUAUGCCGAGUGUUUAUCUGUAAGGUACUUUGGCCACUGCUGUUGGCCGUCACAUUCUUAAAUCGGUGCGGGUAAGCUUGAUCCGCACCGGGUUAGCUAUCUUUGCGAGAAUUUUGGAAUCCAAAUCAAAGCGUUUACUCUUGUGUUUGAAUGUUGUGUCGAGUGCGACGUUUAGUGCAUACUCGGAGAAAGUGAUUACUUAGGUGACUCUUGAUCACCGCAAAGUCCCUGAGUGCGACAUUUAGUGCACACUCGGAGGAAGUUAUUACUUAGGUGAUUCUUGAUCACAGCUACGACCCCGAGUGCGACGCUUAGUGUACACUCGGAGGAAGUUAUUACUUAGGUGAUUCUUGAUCACAGCUAAGUCUCCGAGUGCGACGCUUAGUGCACACUCGGUGAAAGUUAUUACUUAGGUGAUUCUUGAUCACAGCUAAGUCCCCGAGUGCGAUGCUUAGUGCACACUCGGAGAAAGUUAUUACUUAGGUGAUUCUUGAUCACAGCUAAGUCCCCGAAUGUGACGUUUAGUGCACACGCGGAGAAGGUUAUUACUUAGGUGAUUCUUGAUCACAGCUAAGUCCCCGAGUGCGACGUUUAGUGCACACUCGGAGAAAGUUAGUACUUAGGUGAUUCUUGAUCACAUCUAAGUCCCCGAGUGCGACGUUUAGUGCACAGUCGGAGAAAUUUAGUACUUAGGUGAUUCUUGAUCACAACUAAGUCCCCGAGUGCGACGUUUAGUGCACACUCGGAGAAAGUUAGUACUUAGGUGAUUCUUGAUCGCAACUAAGUCCCCGAGUGCGAUGUUUAGUGCACACUCGGAGAAAGUUAGUACUUAGGUGAUUCUUGAUCACAGCUAAGUCCCUGAGUGCGACGUUUAGUGCACAUUCGGAGAAAGUUAGUACUUAGGUGAUUCUUGAUCACAGCUAAGUCCCCGAGUGCGACGUUUAGUGCACACUCGGAGAAAGUUAGUACUUAGGUGAUUCUUGAUCACAGCUAAGUCCCCGAGUGCGACGUUUAGUGCACACUCGGAGAAAGUUAUGACUUAGGCGAUUCUGAAUCGCAACUAAGUUUUUUUUGUGUGACCAGAGUCUGCAACUGCGGAAGAAUUCUGAGUCUGCAAAAACUGAAUCCGCUUUAUAUUAUUCCAUCAAUACUAGUUCAUUACACCGCUUCAGUCGACGAUCACGUGUAGAAGCGCUUCAAGAGGUCUCCAUUCCAUGCACGCGGCUCGUCUGUCUCUCUCUCGAUGUUGUAGAGUCUGUAUGCUCCGUUGUUCAACACCUUGGAGAUGAUGAAGGGUCCUUCCCAGGCCGGGGCUAACUUGUGAGGUCUUUGCUGAUCCACUCGGAGCACCAGGUCGCCUGCUUGGAACGUGCGACUCCUGACGUGGCGUGCAUGAAACCGCCGCAGAUCUUGUUGAUAAAUGGUUGAGCGAGUCAGUGCCAUCUCGCGCUCCUCCUCUAUAAGGUCCACUCCAUCUUGCCUUGCUUGUUCUGCUUCAGCUUCGGAGAAGAGUUUGACGCGUGGAGCAUUAUGAAGCAAGUCACUCGGAAGGACCGCUUCUACUCCAUAAACGAGGAAGAACGGCGAUCGCCCUGUAGAUCUGUUCGGGGUUGUGCGAAGACCCCAAAGUACUGAAGGUAACUCGGUGACCCAAGCGCCAGCGGCAUGUCCCACCUCUCGCAGAAGUCGGGGCUUCAAACCCUGAAGAAUAAGUCCAUUCGCCCGCUCUGCUUGUCCAUUGGAUUGAGGAUGUGCUACGGAAGCAAAAUCCACUCGGAUACCUUGGCUUGAACAAAAACCUUUGAAUCUGUCCGAGUCAAAGUUUGUCCCGCUAUCAGUGAUUAUGCUGUGAGGUACACCGAAUCUGGAGAUGAUGUCCCUGACAAACUUGACGGCUGUUGAGGCGUCGAGUUUCUUGAUAGGCUUGGCUUCUAUCCAUUUUGUGAACUUGUCGACUGCCACCAACAGAUGAGUGUAGCCUCCUUGGCCUGUCUUGAAUGGUCCGACUGUAUCUAAUCCCCAAACUGCAAAUGGCCACACAAGCGGGAUUGUCUUCAACGCAGAAGUUGGCUUGUGGGACUUGUUGGAGUAGAACUGACAGCCCUCCAUCGGUCGACCAUAUCUUUAGCCAUCUCAUUCACCUGCAGCCAGAAAAAACCAGCCCUGAAUGCCUUGGCGACGAUUGCUCUUGAAGAGGCGUGAUGACCGCAUGUUCCCGAGUGAAUCUCUUCCAGGAUCAACUGCCCCUCCUCUGGGGAAAUGCAACGUUGGAGAACGCCUGAAACACUCUCCUUGUACAAUUGGCCAUCAAUGACAGUGAAUGCCUUCGUCCUGCGGACUAUCUGCCUGGCCUGGGCUUCGUCUUCUGGUAGUUCCUGUCUGAGGACAUAUGCAAUGAUCGGCACAGUCCACUAGGGGAUGGCAGCGAGAAUCUCCAUAACCAGAUCAACCACAGCAGGUACAUCGACUUCAGUCGGAUCUGUUGAACUCUUUGGUUGUACUGGCUCUUCUGUAAAAGGAUCUUCUUUGACUGAAGGGAAGUGAAGGUGCUCGAGGCAGACGUCACUCGGGACUGGUCUCCGAGUGGAUCCGAGUUUAGCCAACUCAUCAGCUGCUUGAUUCUUUAGUCUCGGAACAUGGUGACGUUCUAGACCUUCAAACUUCUUCUCGAGCUUUCUUACUACAUUGCAGUAUGUGGUCAUGGUGGUGUUCCUGACGUCCCACUCUUUCAUCACUUGAUUGACCACCAAAUCCGAAUCGCCGUAGACCAUCAGGCGACGGACGCCGAGUGAGAUGGCCAUACGCAACCCGUAGAGGAGAGCUUCAUACUCUGCCUCGUUGUUGGAGGAAUCGAAGUGUAUCUACAGCACAUACUUGAGUUUGUCGCCCUUUGGCGAUAUGAUCACAACGCCAGUGCCGGAGCCAUUCAACAUCUUGGACCCAUCAAAGAACAUUGUCCAAUGGGCCGAGUAGAUGUGGGUCCGUUGCUGUUGAUCUACCCAUUCUGCUAUGAAGUCAGCCAGGGCUUGAGACUUAAUAGCUUUCUUGGCCUCGAACUUGAUAUCUCAGUACAGCAUCUCUAUCGCCCACUUCGCCACUCGGCCUGACGCAUCUCGAUUGUGGAGAAUUUCCCACAACGGAGCAUCGGAAACGACAGAUACCGAGUGGUCUUGGAAAUAAUGAGCCACCUUCUUCGCAGUCAUGUAAAUCCCGUAGAUAAGUUUUUGAUAGUGAGGAUACCUCUGCUUGGAAGGAGUCAGGACCUCGGAGACGUAGUACACUGGCCGCUGAACUUUGUAUGCUUUGCCUUCUUCUUCUCGUUCGACUGUAAGAACAGUACUGACGACUUGAUUUGUAGCCGCGAUGUACAGAAGAAGGGGCUCUUUACUGAGCGGAGCAGUAAGAACCGGCUGGGUGGAAAGUAGGACUUUGAGGUCGUCGAAUGCGACUUGGGCUUCGUCUGUCCACUCGAAAGUAUCUGCUUUCUUCAUGAGUCGGUACAGAGGGAGUGCUUUCUCGCCGAGUCGACUGAUGAACCUGCUCAAAGCCGCUAGGCAACCUGUGAGCCGUUGAACGUCAUGUAUUCUGACCGGCCUCUCCAUUCGAACGAUGGUCCCAAUCUUUUCGGGGUUGACAUCGAUCCCUCGUUCGGAAACGAAGAAACCGAGUAACUUCCUGCUGGGAACACCGAAUGAAUAUUUGGUGGGGUUGAGCUUGAUAUCGUACCUACGAAGGUUGGCGAAUGUUUCUGCCAAGUCAGUCAGCAGGUCGGAACCUUUGCGUGACUUGACUACGAUAUCAUCCAUAUACGCCUCUACAUUUCGACCGAUCUGGUCGAGAAGGCAUUUUUGGAUCAUGCGCAUAAAGGUAGCUCCUGCAUUCUUCAAACCAAAUGGCAUAGUGGUGUAGCAGAAGCACCCGAAUGGGGUGAUAAAAGCCGGCUUUAAUUCAUCGGGACCAUACAGACGGAUCUGAUGAUAGCCCGAGUAGGCAUCAAGGAAUGACAAACGCUCGCACUCCGCAGUCGAAUCGACAAUUUGAUCUAUGCGGGGGAGCGGAAAAUGGUCCUUCGGGCAGACCUUAUUGAGGUGCUUGAAGUCGAUGCACAUCCUGAGUGACUUGUCCUUCUUGGGCACCAUGACAACAUUGGCGAGCCACUCGGAGUGGUGAACCUCGCGAAUGAAGUUGGCUGCCAGCAGCUUGGCCACCUCUUCCCCGAUUGCUUUCCUCUUGUGCGCGGCGGACCGGCGCAAGCGCUCUCGGACAUGCCAAGCGACGGGAUCUACAUGUAGUCGGUACUCAGCCAACUCCCUGGGUACACCUGGCAUGCCAGAAGGUUUCCAUGCGAAGAUGUCCCAGUUCUCACGGAGGAAUUGGGUGAGCUCGGCUUCCUAUUUAGGAUCGAGGGUGGUGGAGAUGUUCGUCGGGGCAGCAGUGUCGUCCGUCGGGUGGAUGUUGACCUUCUUCGUCUCUCCCGCCGACUGGAAUGCGGAUUCUGAAGCUGGCUUCUUUGAGCGCAUCAGGUCGGCGGGGUCGACUGUUUUCUUGUACUCGUCGAGCUCGAGGACGGUCAUCUGCUGGUCGGCGAUUCUUGAUCCUUGCUGCAAGCACUCUUCGGCUCGCUGCCGAUUGCCCGUGAUGGUGAUCACGCCCUUUGGACCCGGCAUCUUCAGCUUCAAGUAUACGUAGCAUGGAUGGGCCAUGAAGCUCACAUACGCUGGGUGGCCCAGAAUCGCGUGGUAAGCGCUCUGGAAAUCCACCACCUCAAAUGUGAGCUUUUCCUUGCGAAAGUUCUUGUCGGAGCCGAAAACGACGUCCAACGCGAUCUGGCCGAGUGACUUGGCCUUCCGUCCAGGGACGACUCCAUGGAACUGCAUACUGCUCUCGCUGAGUUUGGACAUCGGAAUGCCCAUUCCCUUGAGAGUGUCGGCGUACAUGAUGUUCAAACCGCUGCCGCCGUCCAUGAGGACUUUGCGCAGUCGGACUCCUUCUACCACCCAGUCGACGACCAGAGCCUGUCUUCCUGGGGUGGGAACAUGCGCUGGAUGAUCCGAUUGGUCAAAGGUGAUCGCAGUCUGAGACCAUUUAAGGAACUUGGGGCUGGUCGGAACGGCCAUGUUGACCUCCCUGUUCACCAGCUUCAGUCGACUCUUGCUUUCGACGUCAGCAAAAAUCAUGAGUGUCGCAUGGACUUGGGGGAACGGAUCCUCCUUAUCCUCCUCAUCUUGUUCACUGAUCUUCUCACUCGGUUGCCCUUCGCCGAAUCCUUGGAUCAGGAGUCGGCACUGCCAAGUGGUAUGCUUGGGAUAUAUGGGGUUGCCCUCUUCGUCCAUCUUUGUAUGAACCGGGCAUGGUUGGUCCAGGAUGGGAUUAUUGAACCACUUCUUCUUGGGGGUAUACUGCGCCUUCCCUUUGCCUUUGAACUUGGCAUUGGUCACGACUGCAGCUUCUGCCUGCGGAGUGGAUGGAGCUUUUUGCUUUUGCUUCCGAGUGUUGCUUCCUUCUCCGUCGCCGACUGUCUUGUUCUUGCCGCUUCGGAUGCGGUCCUCUUCUUCACCAUUUGCGUAGCGAGCUGCUAUCUCCAUCAUCUUGCUCAUGGAGAUGUCGCCUGUUCGGCCAAACUUCAGGUACAGCUCCCUGUACCGCACGCCUGCCUUGAAGGCGCAGACUGCUUGAUGCUCGGUGACGUUCUCCACCGUGUGGUAGAGAGUCGUCCAACGCUGGAUGAAGUCGUGCAGGGGCUCAUUCGGCUUCUGGACGCAGUGCUGGAGCUCCACCAGGCCCGCAGGGGGCUUGCACGUCCCUUCGAAGGUCCGGAUGAACACUCGGGCCAGAUCCGCCCAACUGUAGAUGCUCGAGGGGGCUAAUUGAUUCAGCCACGCUCGCGCCGAGCCGUCGAGCAUCAGAGGGAGGUGCUUCAUGGCGACGUGGUCGUCCCCUCCUCCGAUCUGGACUGCCACUCGGUAGUCGUCUAGCCAUGUUUCUGGCUUGGACUCUCCUGUAAAUUUACUGAUUCCCGCUGCCAAUCGGAAGUUGGGCGGGAUGUCAGCCGAGUGGAUGGCUCGACUAAAACAGUCGGGACCGGACACGAUGGUCCUGCUUCCACUUGGACGGUCCAUAUCGUGACCAUCACGGUGGGCUCGACCCCUGUCGACUCUUCGUUGGGCAAUACGUCCUCUUGCGUCGGGUCUUGGGUCGUAAGUGUCGCCGACUGAACGCCGAUUAUCAUGAUGUCGGGACCCAUAGGGCCCACCCCACGGAGGGGUGCGUGAGCGGCGGCGAUCUUCAAGAAUCAUGGAACGGCUGCCUCCCCUGUGGCGCUGAUGGGAACCAGGGUUGUGAACCGACCGAUGCGUAUUCGCAUGAACGGAACUAUUAUAGAUCCGGUUGUGUGACUGGGAGACCGCCGAAUUCUGCUGCUGCGCCGUGUGCAACAGGGCUCGGAUCUGCUCGAUCCCCCUUCCUGCCUCUGAAUCAGUCGGCUGGAGGGAAUCGGCUAUCUUGGCAGCCGCAGCCAAGUUGAGGAGGGGCGUGCGGAGCAACUCCACGUUGCACCGCCGAGUGUGCCGACUGGCAGAACGACGAGGUGGACGGCGCUCACCGGAUGCUUCACCGACCUCGCGCUCGCUUCGGCCAGCUUGACGGGGAUCUUCAUGGGAGUUGGCCAUGUGUACUUCUGCUGCGGGCCCGUGACCCGCAUACCCGGAAGGAAACUCAGUUGGAACCGACUCCGAGUGCUGGGACAGCGGGGCAACCACAACGGACUCAAGAACCGCCACUUGCGAAGACGCGUUCUGGCGCGCUUGGGCAUGCUGCACCCAACGUUGGAGCCGCGGACGGCUGGACCGCUUGCUGCGGCGCGUGACGGCGGUGCAGGUCGACACCGGAGUCGACUGUUGGAGAAGAAGAAUGCCGCGAGCGCCGGCACGGAAGUGCGUAGCCCCGCGACGGGGAAGCGCCUCGACGUUGAGAGGAGCAUCCCGAAGCCACGCCGAAUCGUCGACGAUGAAGGAGAGAGCGCCGAAGAAGAUCUGGUGACCCAUGCUCGAACCUCCACCGGACGACAUGACGAAAGGAAGUAGUCGCAAACUCGCCGGAAGUCGCUUAGACGCCUGCCCCACGGUGGGCGCCAACUGUCGUGGGUAUAAGCCUGGCAGUAGAUGUGUAGGGUACGAAAGGAUGGGCAGAGUCCCAGUUACGGCGAGGAUGUAUGAGUUCGGGCCCCUCUGCGGUGGAGGUAAUAGCCCUACGUCUCAGUGCUCAGGGAGCUUUGUUGUCGAGUGGAAUAGGGAAUACAAUGAGUUGCUAACCACUUUACCAGUGCGAGAGGGUGGCUUAUAUAGAGUGAGCUGCCCUCCACAACGGUUCCGGUACAGGGGUGGAGUAGUGGCGAUUGAAUGUCUACGUUACAGGUAACGUACGCCCUAAAUGCUAAUAAAUCCACCUGGAAACGUACGACCGUUUCCCACCAGGGGGGUUACGAUGUACCGAGUGCUACACAGUCGGUUAGCCUGAUAUGCUCCGAAUGCUAGUCGCCGACUGGAUGAUCGAGGGUAUGUUACCGACUGGACGACAGGGAUUCCUUAAUUCAGUCGGAGCUGACUAAGGGUCUAGUCCUUUGUGAGGGGUAGUCCUUGGAUAGGACCUAAAGGGCAGGCCUAUGACCCUACCGUAGGACUAUAACCCCAUCAUAUCCGUUGUGGGAUUUUCCUUAUGGGAAAAGAGACCCAAAUGAUGUCGCUAGUUUACACAAGAAGGGUUCUCAUACUUAAAUAGGGCAUGAUUAUUAUGAUUGUCAGCAACUACACCACUCAAGCUAGAAUUAAAUAAUCACACAACAAUUGGAGCAUGUGUUGUUUGGUGAAGCAAUGAUGAUGUCUAGGCCAUACACAAUGUUGAUCCCUCGGUGACCACCUAUAAAUAACACGCUUCUCCUCGGUGACCACCUAUAAAUAACACGCUUCUUCUCAUGUAGAAUGAUCAAAUUUACUUGGUAGGGAGACUGGUAGAGGAUGGCAAACAGGGGAGGAGGGCAUCAAUAACGAGUAGGGUGAAUGGCACUAUGAGUCACACUUCAUGAUCUAGCAGAAGAAUGGGAUGUGUUGGAAAAUUGAGCGAGAAGCACAAAUAGAAGCAUAAUCCAUGAACAGGUAGUUGCAGUACGUAGCACCUCCCGAGUAAGCCACGUUUCUUAUUACUUUUCGGUCACAUAAUCGGGGCUAAAUGUUAAUGAGACGGUAGGUCAUAUACAUGUCUUGUAUACCAUUGUGACUAUGUAAUUCUGAAUUUUCCCCUUCUAAAUUUUCAGAGUACCGUAGACCACAGUCCCACUGCGGUUCCUGCCUAUUUUUUGACAGGAACAUUCGAUAAGAAUUAAAAUAUUAAGAUUUUGUAGAGAAAUAUAAAGCUUUUUUUAAUUUUCAAACAAAUUGAAACCUACGGCUCACCCACUACCGGAAAAACCGACGACAAGCUGUAACUGUAUUGUGUACGUUCUAGGGACAACGAAUAUCCUUGUUUCUUCGUUCUAGUACUAAGUAAAGAACCACUACUAGAAAAAAAAGGCUAUAGCUAUAUAUAUAUGGACAUUAAUAUUGCACCAUGUGUGUGGUGCGCCACUGCUAUAUAGCAGUGGCGUACCAGAAACAGGUGCGUCAUUAUUGGUCAUAUUACUAAUGGCACACCUGGGGUGCGGUGCGCCAUUACUAGUCUUUGUCCUGGUCCCACACCCUUUUCAGACUUAGCAGUGGUGCAUCAAGGGAAAAUGCGCCAUUACUAGUUUUAACUAGUAAUGGCGCACAACACCCACGGUGCGCCACUACUAACAAUUUUUUUAAUUUUUUUUCAAAACUAGUAAUGACGCACCACACCCUUGUUGCGCCAUUAGUAACCCUGUUUACCAAUGGCGCAUUCCUAGGAGGUGCGCCAUUGGUAACCCUCCCCCACUAUACGGACUCUUCCCUCCACUGUCUCCUCCCCCGAAUUAGGCCGGCCCUAACCACCUCCCGCCGCCGCUUGGUCCUGCCCCGCCGAUUGACCGAGCGCCGCCGUCGCUNNNNNNNNNNNNNNNNNNNNNNNNNNNNNNNNNNNNGCCGCCGCCGCCGUCGCUACUAGGGUUCCUCCCCCGCCGCCCCGUCCUCGCCUCCUCCCUCCGAUGAGCGAGGGCCUCCUUAUCCCUCCGAACCGCGCCGGCCACUGCGCGCGGACCGACACCCGAUGAUGGGCGACGACAAGGUCGCCGCCUCCCCCUCCGCCUCCGACGACAAGGUUCGCCCCUCUCGCCCCCCUCCUUCCCAUGCUGCUAAGGCAAUAGUUUGCAAGAUGAACAAGGCGGGAUUAGUUUCAAGACCAUGCUGCUAAGGCAAUAGUUUUUUAUAGGACCUUAAAAUAGAUAUUGGGACCUUCUGUUCCUACUUUCAACCUGUUGAACCUGCAAGAGUCACUUCCCCUGCAGCAAAUCUUCUUGAACUUCCUUUCACCAAAGAGGAAAUAGACCUUGUUAUCAAGGAUCUCUGCUCUGACAAAGCUCCCGGGCUUGAUGUAUUUAAUACUGGGCUACUACUGCCCCUAAUAUCUAUAAUCUGGUUGAGGAUUUUUAUCAUGAGAGGAUAAACACACGGAGUAUUAGUUCCUUUUUUAUCACCCUCAUCCUCAAGAAGGAUUAUCUUGUCAAAGCUAGGGAUUUUAGGCAUAUCUAUCAGUUGAACUGCCCAGAUUUCAAAAUAUCAUUUUCAAACUUGUUCGCAUCAAUAGAUAUGGAUUUAUAAAGAAAAUAUCAAUUUAAUAUUGUAUAGCAUGGGCUUAUGAAUAUAUAUACACCAGUGUUAGCAAUCCAAGAAAGCGUUGGUUAUUUUGAAACCGGACUUUGAAGAAACUUUUCAUAUGAUUGAACAUCAAACUAUAAGAGAAAUUCUGGAGGUUAGAGGCUUUGGACACAAAUGGAUGGACAUGAUCUACUACUCUGGUUUCCCCUCAGUACUUAUAAAUGGCAUCCAUGUGAAGCAAGUUUCAAUCACGUCAUUUUUGUAGCAGAUUUUCUAUGCCUACUUCAGCACAUCAUUUAGCUUCCAUAAUUAUUAAAGUUGUUAUUUGGUGUUACUCUAGAUAGUGUUUGGCCGUAAACUCCAUUGCCCAUGGUCCUAUAAACUUCUGAUCUUAUUACAGCUACAAAUCAUAGACAUGGACAUAAACUUGUGUACCAAAACUGUCAUGUGUAUAUACGGCAUCGUCUUAGGAACAUAACAGUAAGGAAGCGUACUGUGAGUAUAUGGCCUACAUGUUACUAUUCCCAAUCAAAGUAAAUUGUACAAGUCAUUGAGGAUUGACAUAAAAUCAACUUGUUAUAUUUCUGCUGCUAAUUAGAAGGUCUUUUCCUCUAGUGUGAAGUCUUUCAAAGGCAGUCCUGCUAACAAAGGGUAAAAAAUAGGGUAGCAAGGCAAGAUACAUGUAAAUAGGUGGUAGUGCUAUAGUAAGAAUGCUCCCUCUCGGAUGUAUACCUUAGAAGAUGGAUAUGCUCAUGCUAAUUAAAUGAAUAUGCCCAUGGAUAUAUUAUUUAAUCCAGCAAAUAGAUGCAUUCUAAACACAUGCAUUAGUCUGCUAACAAAGCCUAAGACAUGGCACACCUUCAUUCCUGCCAAAAGAAUAGUCCAAAAUUAACUUUCUUUUGUGCCAAUUCUACAUCACUUAUAUUCUGUGAUGUAAUGUAUUUUAUAACCUGUGCAAAUAUCAGAAAAGCAAAAAAAAUUUCCUAAUAUUCAUAGUAUGGCGCACCAUCUACAAGUGCGCCAUUAGUAACCCACAGCAGUGGCGCACUUCUGGGCCUAGUAAUGACGCACCAGGUGGUGCGCCACUGUUAUGUAGAUUGACAGUGGCGCACCAGCAGUGCGUCAUUACUAUUUAUUAGUAGUGGCGUGAUAAUAGUGGUGCACCUAUAGUGCAUCAUUAAUAGACAAAAUAGGUGCGCCACUAAUAGCCUUUUUUCUAGUAGUAACGUGCAUUGCUAUGGUAAAAUCAUUGCCGACUUGAUCUUUGAGCGACCGUUUUUCUAGCAAAUUAAAGUCUAUCAUCAUGGGUUUUGUGGAAGGAGUUAACAAGAUGAGAAAUGUUUUGUUUUCGUUGAAGUUCUCGUCGGAGUUGAUUUGAUUUGUUUGAGUUAAUGCAGGGCAUGUGUGUGGCGUACACGAUGCUUGAUGAGGGCGCUCGUCAUCGAACAUGGUGAUUGCUAUUUUGUCCAUACGUUAGGUUUUUCCUCAGAGAAGAAGAGACUGAUGUAGUAGCAUAGCAACGAUUAUUUCUCUCAAUGAGAAUCAUGGUUUAUCGAAUCAAUAGAAAAAACAAGCAAUUAACCAUCGAUAGUUACUGCACAAAUAAGAACAAAUACUAACACCCCACGCGGCAAGAGGGUUGUUAAACGCCUUAUACUCGUUAAUUUCAAAGAUCAGAUCUAGUAGCGAUAGAUAUGUAAAAUAAAAAAUAAAUAAAAGGUAAAUAAAUUACAGCAAGUAAAUGGACCUUAGGUAAAUUUUUGGAAUAGACUUCGCAGUCAUAGUUUUCACAAGAAGCAUCUUUCUCAUGUCCGUACUUCCAUGCACUCUCAACUCAACCCUAGGUUCCCCCCCGGCCUUCUUCCAUCAAUUAAUCCUAUGUUUGGUACCCCAUUGUGUGAUUUUCCUGAUAAGGAAAGAGACCCAAAUGGUGUUGCUAGUGUCAAGACGACCAACGUCUACGAGCAUGAAGAGCGACCAGACGACCAUCGGCAACUUCCAGCAGCAGAACAUGCACAUCGUAUACGAUCUGGAGAGCAACAAGAUGGUCUUUGCACCCGUGCGCUGCGACAAGC